CGUCAACACUGUAAACGCUGUAAACAUUUGCUCUGCUUUCUAUCUAAUUAAAAUUGAAAUGUAAUUGAUAAUAGUUCUGGAAGAUAUUCAAUAUAAUAAAAACAGGAAAUUUUUGAUAAUAAUAUCGAUAAAGAAAGAAUGAAAAUUAAUAAGUUCUUUAAGACUCGUACAUAACCUCAAAUCUUUCAAUAAUCCUGCGACAGUCGUUUGGAGUAAUGUCAAUUCACUCCCUCGUGAAAAAUAUUAAUUUUCCUAUUAAUUUUCGUAUAUUUAAUAAAUCACGUAAAUUUAAUUUCCGUCAGUAAAAUUAAUGAAAUGAAUGAAAUUAAUAAAAAUUAAUAAUAAUAAAAUAAUAUAGGGUUUUAGGACCCAAUAGUAAAAAACUUGAAAACUGACAAGGAAGAGACAAGACAAUAAUGACAACGUCCGCUGUCAGAAGGUGUGCUUGAUUUAAUUGUGUAUGGUGAAAUAAACUAGUUAUAAAAUUGUGCAAAAACUUUUUUUUUCCGAUAAAAAUUGAUGAUUUUGUUAAAAAAAGGAGAAUUCAUGGAACAUGAUAAUCGAAGAUAUCCAGCUUGAUUAAAUGACUGGAAAAUUGUUGUUGCAUCGAUAUGCAAUAUUUUGUAGAGUUAAUGCCAACUCAUCUAUACGAAAAUUAUUAAAAGCUGUAUAUGUUACACACCCAAUAAAAGACGUAUUUAAUUUUCGAUAAAAAUACAUCAUCCAAAGUGUUUAAUUAAACAAUAAUCGCGUGUCAUGAGUUAAUUAAUUAUUGAAGAGAAAAGUAAUUUGCCGACAAUGACAAGCUCAAUAGUUGGUGGUGGUCUAGAAUCAGUGACAAAAUUUUUUGAAAUUCUUCAAUCUGAUCUCAAGAUACUUGCUGGUGAAACUAAAAAGAAAUAUCCGCAAAUUAAAGAGUCAUGCGAGGAGGGAAUCGCAAAACUAAGAUCCGCAUCUGGAAAUCCAGGAAGUCAAAUAUAUUAUGUGGUUAAUCAAAUUUUAUAUCCCCUGGUUCAAGGCUGUGAAAGUAAAGAUGUAAAAAUUAUUAAGUUUUGCUUGGGAGUAAUGCAAAGAUUAAUUACUCAACAAGCUGUGGAUCAAAAGGGUGCACGUUACAUCACGGAUACACUAUGGAUGUUGAUGGAAGCUGGAACAGAAGAAGUAAAAGUACUGCAAACAGUUACAUUGUUACUCACGAGUAAUACACUCGUUCAUGGAGAGACGCUUUCAAGGAAUCUUGUCUUGUGUUUUCGAUUGCAUUUCACUAAAGAUUCGACAACAAUAAACACAGCUGGUGCAACUGUGAGACAAUUGGUGUCAUUAGUAUUUGAACGUGUCGUGGCUGAAGAUGAGGAAAAUCCUGAACAGCGUUCGAUUGAAGAGAUUAAUUUAGAGGAAUUGAAAUCACCAACGAAUCAACCUCCGAAAGGCCUCGGACCAUGUGCUGCCGAUGCUUUUUUAAUGUUCCAGGAUUUAGUUCAAUUGGUGAACGCAGAUCAACCUUAUUGGUUAACAGGAAUCACAGAAAUGACCCGAACUUUUGGUUUGGAGUUGUUGGAAUCAGUUUUAAUUAAUUUCUCGUCUGUAUUUUUUAAGCAUCCGGAAUUUAGUUUUCUAUUGAAGGAAAGAGUUUGUGCUUUGGUUAUUAAACUAUUUUCACCAAAUAUAAAAUACAGAAAUUCGGUUCCAGCUUCAAUUCAACAAGCAACACCUCUUGAUAAACCUUAUUUUCCCAUUAGCAUGAGACUUUUACGUGUUGUUUCCAUUUUGAUACAAAAAUAUCAUUCUCUGCUGGUGACGGAAUGUGAAAUAUUUCUUUCGUUAAUUGUGAAAUUUCUUGAUCCUGACAAACCAGUUUGGCAACGGGCUUUAGCACUGGAAGUUUUACACAAAAUGACCGUACAAUCCGAUUUAUUGACAAGCUUUUGCAAUUGUUAUGAUCUUAAACCACACGCAACUAAUAUAUUUCAAGAUAUUGUUAAUAGUUUAGGUGCUUAUGUGCAUAGUCUUUUUGUGAAUCCGCACAUGAUCGGCUCGUCUAGUAUGGGCUCAUCAACACCGGCUGUGCAGUCAACAGCACCGGCUCUCUUAGCUGGUAUGCCAAUUGGUCCUGGCGUAUCUCCUCAACCUGGAUUUUAUUCCAGAGGAAUAUGGUUGCCCGUGGUUGUCACGUUUCCUAGUGGACAAGCAAAAUCUACAUAUCUCGAUAUGUUGGAUAAAAUUGAACCGCCACAGAUACCGGACGGUUAUGGAAUCAGUAUUGCAUACGCUUGUUUGUUGGAUAUAAUUCGCUCAAUAGCGUUGGCAAUUAUUGGCUCCAGAGAGGAGAAUACAGAACAUCGGUAUAAUCCUACGGAAGCUGAAAAGAAACUUCAUGUUCAAUUAAUUAAUUCAAGUUGGUGUGGUCUACUGGCGGCUCUCAGCCCCUUGAUAGACGCUAGUACUGAUGAAUCAGCGACGGAAAAUGUUCUCAAAGAAAUACAAACGUUCGCAUCAUUGUGCGGUUUACUCGAUUUGAAUACACCCCGAGACGCUUUUAUAACAGCAAUUUGCAAAGCUUCAUUACCUCCGCAUUAUGCUCUCACUGUUCUCUACAGUGCUCCACAAGGAAUUCCCAGUGCACGACCACAAGAUUCUGUACAAUAUAAUCCCGCAUCAAUGGGAGAUUCUGAUUACCGACAGCAAGUCGUUGCCGUUGGAACACCCUUACCCACAGCUUCAUUGCCAAUUGGAGCUCAACAAGGACCAGUUAUGUUGACGGUGAAAAAUCUUCAAUGCAUGAGAGCUUUACUUUUAUUGGCGCAUUGUCAUGGCAGUAUUUUGGGAACUGCUUGGCAUUUAGUGUUGACGACUCUUCAACAUCUAGCUUGGAUUUUGGGACUGAAACCAUCGACGGGAGGUUCUUUGAAGGCAGGAAAAACCGCUGCCGACUCGAAUGCAAUGCUAACAACGGCUGUCAUGGCAGAUUUACCGGUUCUCAGCGCAAUGCUCAGCAGAUUAUUCGAGAGUAGUCAACAUCUCGAUGAUGUUGCUCUUCAUCAUUUAAUUGACGCCCUGUGUAAACUGAGCCAUGAGGCUAUGGAAUUGGCAUAUUCUAACAGAGAGCCAUCAUUGUUCGCUGUGGCAAAACUUUUAGAGACUGGACUUGUAAAUUUACCUCGAGUGGAAGUUUUGUGGCGACCACUUACAAAUCAUUUGCUUGAGGUUUGUCAGCAUCCGCACAUUCGCAUGAGAGAAUGGGGAGUCGAAGCAAUUACCUAUCUCGUGAAAGCUGCUCUUCAACAUAAAUAUCCUCAACCACUUCGUGAUAAUCAGAAAUUGCAAGUGUUACUUUUGGGACCUUUGUCCGAAUUGUCGUCGGUUCGUCACGCAGACGUCAGGCAACGACAAUUGGAAUGUGUUUUACAAGUUCUUCACGGUGCAGGAGAAACUUUGUAUCAUGGUUGGCCUUUGGUGCUUGGAAUAAUUGGCGCUGUUUCCGAUCAUCACGGGGAAAACUUAGUUCGCAUAGCGUUCCAGUGUCUUCAGUUGGUAGUCACGGAUUUCUUACCAGUAAUGCCUUGGCGUUGCCUUCCUUUGUGCGUCGACACUGCUGCUAGAUUUGGAUCACAAACACAGGAAUUAAAUAUUUCCCUGACCGCCGUUGGAUUAAUGUGGAACAUUAGUGAUUACUUUUAUCAAAAUCAAGAGAAACUCUGCGUCUCAUUGCGAGGAGAUUUGGCGAAUGUGUUUCCCGAUUUUCCUGGGACAACGAAUAUGCCAGCGUUUGAUAAAUUAUGGAUGUGUCUUUACGCGAGAUUAGGCGAUCUUUGCGUGGAUUCAAGACCAGCUGUUCGAAAAUCUGCUAGUCAAACAUUAUUUUCGACAAUUUCGGCUCACGGUGGACUUUUGCAUCAACCGACCUGGCAAGCUGUACUCUGGCAGGUACUCUUUCCUCUUCUCGAUAAGGUCAGAUGUCUAUCGAGUUCGGCGAGUAACGAGAAAGUCGAUAGUGGCGGUAAUAUUCUUAUUCAUCACAGCAGAAAUACGGCGCAAAAACAGUGGGCCGAAACUCAGGUUUUAACAUUGAGUGGCGUUGCUCGUGUUUUUAACACGAAACGACAGUUGUUACAAAUGUUGGGAGAUUUUCCACGCGCUUGGUCUCUUCUUCUGGAGUUCAUCGAAAAUUCCGCUCUCAGUAAAAAUAAUGAGGUUUCUUUGGCGGCUUUAAAAUCGUUUCAAGAAAUUUUGUAUUUGCCGAAAAAUGCCGACAAUGUUGAUCCAGUGCAUUCGGAAGAUUCCGAAGUCUUAUGGUUGGUUGCUUGGCGAGUUUGGUUGAGUAUUGGAACGGAAAGUACGAGCCCACCUCAGGAAAAUGAAGUCGAUCUUUACGUUCCCUCGCAAGCUUUCCUCACCGCUUUGGUUCAAAUAUUCCCAGCAGUGUUUCAACACAUUAAGAACAAAUACACGAGUAAUGAUUUACAAAAAUUGUGUUCGGUCCUGAAAAAUGCGAUUGCUGUUCCCGUUCAUGGAGAGUCAACUCCCUAUAUUUUACCUACAAUUCCAGAUGCUAUUCUCACUCAACUUCAGGAUGGAAUUUUGCACUCGAUGGAACUUUUGCAGAAGGAAGCACUCACGAGUUCUGAGAAUUUAAAAACGAUGAUCGGUCCAAUUUUCCUGCAACUUUUAUAUUUCCUAAAACUGGCCUGCGAGGCGCCAACAUACGGAAAAGUCACGACAAAAAAUAUUUCUCAAGUGAGAGGUGUAUCUUCCGACUGGGUGACAAUGAACUAUGUGCCUUUUGGAGAAAAAGCCUUAUCAAUGGUAGUGAAUUUAUAUCAAAAAACCGCACAUGAAUCACCAGUGAUUGAAGGGCAAAUAUUACGACAUAUUAUUGAAGCUCUACAUUUGCCACUGUCCAUGAAAUAUAAAUGUCCUUCGCAAACAACAUGGAAAUUAGCAAUUACUAAUCUUCUUACCAUUUUGCAUAUUGGAAUUCCCCUUGCCAGAAAAAAUUCGGAACCAUUUCAAAAUAUGUGGCCAAAAUUGGCAGACACGUUGGACGAUUUUCUAUUUCCCAAAAGCGCUUUAAAUUCGGAGAGAGGAGUCGAGGAAAUUCAAGCAGACGAGGCUGUGGAUUGUCAAGUCAUGGAACUCCUCCGAGACGAAGUGCUACCUCAUUCACAACAUAUUCCCCAUCAAUUUAUUCUACGAGUCGUUAUGCUUUUAAAUAAGGGUUCCAUACACUCGGCAACGGCAACGAAUAUAGAGAAAAAUGGAGAGCCAAAAUUACGAGAAGAAUUUGCAAAGACGUGUUUCGAAACUCUACUACAAUUUUCAUUGCUUGACGGUUUGAGCAACGAACUUGAAUCGAGUAGAGAAAAAUUAUUCGAAGACGAGGGAGGAAUCGCCGGAAGAUUAGCGGUCACGGCUCUUCUUCACAGGUUUCAAGAAGUUCUGAAACGCUACAUCGACGAUGAGAAGAGAAGUGGGAAAUGUCCCCUACCCAGAUACAGAUUGUCAGAGAUUUCUUUCGUUUUAAAAGCCGUUGCUACUCUUGUUGUUUCUCUUAAAAAAGCGCCCGCAAAUAAAGUUGAACGAUCAGUCUGGGAACAGCUGAUUGGCCUUUAUCCAUGUUUGGUGGAAUGCACCGUUGCCACUGCAUCUGGACCAGUUUCACGAUCACUACGGGAAGCAUUAAUGCAAUAUCAUGAUUUAUUGCGACCUCCUCCUUUAUCGAAUGCACCCACGUCCAAUGGUGUUUGACCAACACAUUCGAUUCUAUUAACUAGAAGUUUCCGUCAGUGUCCGUAACGCUACUAAAUAUUAUACAUUUAGAGCAGUAUUGAAACUCUUUUAAUGAAACCAGAGUUUUUCUUGUACAAAUCAAUUUAGAAUUGAUAUUGUCUGCUUUUAUAGAAUGUGUAUAUAUUUAAAUAUUUAUACGAAACGUUGCUGUCUCAUUUUUUUUUUCAUUGGGAAUUGCAACGUAAAUUAAUUUCUUUUCUAAUGGGCUCUAUCAAACAGAGAUCGAACUGAAUCAACUUUUUAAUAAAACCUGAUUAGAUAUUUAAAUAUGAAUAUUAUAAAAAUGUUACUAUAAUAAAAUUUAAUUAAAGAAAAAAAACUAAUAAAAAUAAUAGUAGUAAUAAGACGUUAGAAUCGAAUAAAAACAAAAACUUGAUUCUCCAAUAUUAUAGAAAAAAUGAUAAAAUAUUGAUAAUUUCAGUAGAAGCUUUUUAAAACAGGUAAAAAAAAAAGUUGAGUAACAAGUAUUAAUUUCACAUUCUUUUUCAAUGAGCCCAAUUUAUGAUAAAUUUUGCUAAAUAGUGUCUUCAGCAAUAAAUUGAUUGUCAAGUUGACUAACUAUGAGAAAAAGACUUGAGACAAUUUUACAAUAUUAUAUAAAUAAUAAUUAUAAAAAGUACAGGGAGAAAAAUUCUUUCUACUUAAUAAAUACUGUAGAGAAAAUUUACAUUCCACGAAAAAAAAAGCUUCAUUUCAAUUUUAAGUGUCAAUGUCUAUUGGGCUGAAUAGUUGUGAACAAAAAAAUGAUAUAAAAAUAAUUUCAAAUAACUAUAUUAAUUCAUUGUCAAUUGAUAAUUAAUUAAAUAUAUUAUUUGUUGUUGGAAAUAAAUUGUUGAUAAUAAAGAAUUUUUCGAAUAUUCGCAACAAAAUAAUACAAUCAAACAAAAGAUACAAAUAUUUAUUAUAAUUAAUUAAUAACCAUUAAUUAAUUAAUCAAAAACAAGAUAAUAUAUAUUUUCUAAAGAAAAAGUGUUCGAAAGGUAGAAAAAUUAAAAUCUUUUAAUCGAGCUUUUUACUUAUCGGUUUGUAAAAGCGAAUAUUAAAAUUACGUAAUUCUAAAUUAAUUAAUUUUAAUUGAACUGAAUUCGAAGUUAUUAAAUUAUAUCCCAUUAAAUUCUAUUUGCGUUUGAAAUUUUUGUUAUAAAAUAAAAUCACAAAAAAAUAUUUCUGAAAC